CCCGCACCCUCCCGGGGCCCCAUUUUGUGUCGGCGGAGUUGGCUUCCGUCUGGAAUGGUUGGUGCAGCGCGUCAGGUGAGCAGCAUCCCGGUGCGUCAGAGUAGCCGGAGCCGCGGGAGGACAGUGGGCGGAUGCUUGGCGUCCGGGCCCCGCGUUCCGCCAAGUUGCUGGAAUACUGUAUUAGUUUCCUGUCCCUGUGACAAAAUACCUGAGAAAAACAAGUUGAAUUCAUGGUUUCAGUCAAUGGUAUUACAUGAAUAUUGAGAGAAAUUUGAUCAAUCUGUCAUUUCUUACUAUGGAGAAUUAGAGAAUAAGGUAUUUCUGAUGAACAUUGUCUUAGAAAAAGCUUAAGACAAUGUAAAAGUUCCACAAUAGUUAAAACAAAAAUAUAAGUGGGUAUGGGUAUAUUUGUACAAUAUGUAAAAACAGACUUAAGAAUGUACUUGAUAGGCUGAUAUGGUUGUUUUGGGGGUGAUUUGGGAGUGGAAUAGUAAACAGUAACUUUCAUGUUCUGUUCCUUAUACUUCUGUAUGUUUUGCAGGCUUCAUUUUAAAAUUAUUUAUAUAAUAAAAGACUGAAUAAGUGAGAAAAAGACUGAAACAGGGGAGAAUAUAUAAGUUCCCACAGACAGAUAAGGCGCCUAUAGAAC
rnacentral:lncRNA from 1 species